GAGCAGGGAAACACAGGGAGGGGACUGGGAGAAUAAAAUACUGGAGUUACAGAGAUGACAGAGGGGUCAGUUCUUGAAAACGGCAACUGAUAUGGUAUGCUUGGCUGAGGACCGUGUCAUUGGAGGAGAGGAGACCAAAAAACUCAAAGGCCAAGGCACCAAAAUAAGAAAAGAUGACACCCCACAGCACAAAAGCAGCCCAUCAAACAACCAAGACGCCGACAUGCUCAGCAGGACUACAGGAAAGCUGCCGUCUCGCCUGUCAGAUGUAACCUUUUCUUCUCUGUCCUGGGCUUUUCUGAAAAGAAUACACCUCCCUACCAAGGCCAUCUUCAAUCUCUACAGAAGUCCCCAACUCCACCACCUCUUCAUGCGGUCACUGCAUGGGGACCUUCCUUGCCUGCUCUUUAGGACAAAGGUCUACACACAGCUGAUCCCCUCCCCACAGAGGCCAACACUUUUGAUUUCAUCAAUAAAUCAUUUGUAAUCAAGACAUUAAAGCUCAGGCUCAAACAGACCAGAAGUGCAGCUUCUGGAAUUGACAGGAAUAAAUUUGUCAGAUGUAGAUUCAUA
ensembl:lncRNA